ACACAUGCAAGUCGAGGGGAAACGGCAUUAAGUGCUUGCACUUUUUGGACGUCGACCGGCGCACGGGUGAGUAACGCGUAUCCAACCUGCCCCUUACCAGGGAAUAACCCGUUGAAAGACGGACUAAUGCCCUAUGCAGUCCUUUGACGGCAUCAGAUUAGGACUAAAGAUUCAUCGGUAUGGGAUGGGGAUGCGUCUGAUUAGCUUGUUGGCGGGGUAACGGCCCACCAAGGCAUCGAUCAGUAGGGGUUCUGAGAGGAAGGUCCCCCACAUAGGAACUGAGACACGGUCCUAACUCCUACGGGAGGCAGCAGUGAGGAAUAUUGGUCAAUGGGCGCUAGCCUGAACCAGCCAAGUAGCGUGCAGGAUGACGGCCCUAUGGGUUGUAAACUGCUUUUAUGCGGGGAUAAAGUCACCCACGUGUGGGUGUUUGCAGGUACCGCAUGAAUAAGGACCGGCUAAUUCCGUGCCAGCAGCCGCGGUAAUACGGAAGGUCCGGGCGUUAUCCGGAUUUAUUGGGUUUAAAGGGAGUGUAGGCGGCCUGUUAAGCGUGUUGUGAAAUGUAGAUGCUCAACAUCUGAACUGCAGCGCGAACUGGCUGGCUUGAGUACACGCAACGUGGGCGGAAUUCAUGGUGUAGCGGUGAAAUGCUUAGAUAUCAUGAGGAACUCCUAUUGCGAAGGCAGCUCACGGGAGUGUCACUGACGCUUAAGCUCGAAGGUGCGGGUAUCAAACAGGAUUAGAUACCCUGGUAGUCCGCACGGUAAACGAUGGAUGCCCGCUGUUGGCGCUUUGCGUCAGCGGCUAAGCGAAAGCAUUAAGCAUCCCACCUGGGGAGUACGCCGGCA
rnacentral:rRNA from 1 species